GAAAAAAUGGACGAUCAUCUUAAACUCGGAGACAGUGGAGUUGUAAAGAAUUUUCAGGUUGCAAAGUUGGGUCGACGGGGUCAACGUACUCGACAGGCUGCAGAGCAAACAUCACUGGAGGAGCCUCGACACGUCAGGAAAUCCUCUUCUUCUACAUCGAUGGGAGAGGGACCCCCUCCUAAACCAGCCCGCAGGCAGGGCGGAUGGGCUGAAGAGACUUCUGGAUCAGCCAAGUCUGGAAGAAGACCUGCCAUGGUGCAGGAUGUGGAAGAUCGACGCCUGCGACCACAAACCCCCCAGGGCUCGGAUGAUGAAGGAGAUAUACCGGUGAUCCCAGACCUUGACGAAGUACAAGAGGAAGACCUUAACAUGCAAGUUGCUGCUCCUCCAAGCAUCCAGGUGAACCGGGUAAUGACAUACAGAGAUCUGGACAAUGACCUCAUGAAGUACUCUGUCUUCCAGACCCUGGACGGUGAGAUUGACUUGAAGCUCCUCACCAAGGUUUUAGCUCCAGAGCAGGAGGUGAGGGAGGAGGACGUGGGUUGGGACUGGGAUCAUCUGUUUACAGAGGUGUCCUCGGAGCUGCUGACGGAAUGGGAUCAAGGAGAGAAGGAGGAGCAGGUCCCGUUGUCUGUGUUAUGAGGACAAGCCUCCCCAAGUUGGGAUAAAGUGGACCAGAACGUCUCCUCUGGGACCUGGGACCACGUGCUGACUGACACAGGCCAAUCACGGCCCGGCAGUCAACGAGGAGGCUCGCGCUCCGAGGCCAUAGACAUUGGCCAUGUUCGAGAGCAUCAAAACCAUAUUAUAAACUGGGUGGUUUGAGCCCUGAAUGCUGAUUGGCUGAAAGCUGGGGUAUAUCAGACCGUAUACCACAGGUACAUUUAUUUUUACUCUUCUAAUUACGUUGGUAACCAGUUUAUAAUAGCAAUAAGGCACUUUGGGGGUUUGUGGUAUAUGGCCAAUAUAACACGGCUACGGUCUGUAUCCAAGCACUCGUGUUUAAGAACAGCCCUUAGCCAUGGUAUAUUGGCCAUAUACCACACCCCUUCGGGCAGUAUUGCUUAAAUGUAUCAUGGGUAAAUUGUGACUGACUGACUGAUCUACUAAUAUUAAUGAGUGCAUUCUGAUCCAACUGUAAAUUCAUACCCUACCGGUCAAGAUUUUCAGAAUACCAACUCAUUGAAGGGUUUUUCUUUAUUUGUACUAUUUUCAACAUUGUAGAAUAAAAGUGAAGACAUCAAAACUAUGAAAUAACACAUGGAAUCAUGUAGUAACCAAAAAAGUGUUAAACAAAUCUAAAUAUAUUUCAUAUUUGAGAUUCUUCAAAGUAGCCACCCUUUGCCUUGACAGCUUUGCACAUCCUCUUUCCAUUAAUCAUCCUUGAGACGUUUCUACAACUUGAUUGGAGUCCACCUGUUGUAAAUUCAAUUGAUUGGACAUGAUUUGGAAAGGCACACACCUGUCUAUAUAAGUUCCCACAGUUGACAGUGCAUGUCAGAGCAAAAACCAAACCAUGAAGUCGAAGGAAUUGUCCGUAGAGCUCCGAGACAGGAUUGUGUCGAGGCACAGAACUUGGGAAUGGUACCAAAACAUUUCUGCAGCAUUGAAGGUCCCCAAGAACACGGUGGCCGCCAUCAUUUUUCUUAAAUGGACGAAGUUCGGAACCACAAAGACUCUUCCAAGAGCUGUCUGCUCGGCCAAACUGAGCAAUCUGGGGAGAAGGGCCUUGGUCAGGGAGGUGACAAAAAACCUGACGGUCACUCUGACAGAGCUCCAGAGUUCCUCUGUGGAGAUGGGAGAACCUUCCGGAAGGACAACCAUCUCUGCAGCACUCCACCAAUUAGGCCUUUGUGGUAGAGAAGCCAGGCGAAAGCUACUCCCCAGUAAAAGGCACAUGACAGCCUGCUUGGAGUUUGCCGAAAGGCUAAUGGACUUUCAGACCAUGAGCAACAAGAUUUUCUGGUCUGAUGAAACAAAGAUUGAACUCUUUCACCUGCCAAGAGUCGCGUCUGGAGGAAACCUGGCACCAUGCCUAUGGGGAAGCAUGGUGGUGGCGGCAUCAUGCUGUUAGGACGUUUUUCAGCUGCAGGGACUGGGAGACUAGUCAGGAUUAAGGGAAUGAUGAACGGAGCAAAGUACAAAGAGAUCCUUUAUGAAAACCUCACCUUCCAACAGGACAUCGACCCGAAGCACACAGCCAAGACAACGGAGGAGUGGCUUCUGGACAAGUCUCUGAAUGUCCUUGAGUGGCCCAGUCAGAGCCCGGACUAGAACACGAUCAAACAUCUCAGGAGAGACCUGAAAAUAGCUGUGCAGCGACCCUCCCCAUCCAACCUGACAGAGCUUGAGAGGAUCUGCUGAGAAGAAUGGAAGAAACUCCCCAAAUACAAGUGUGCCAAGCUUGUAGCGUCAUACCCAAAACAACUUGAAGCUGUAAUCGCUGUCAAAGAUGCUUCAACAAAGUACUAGAUAUAGGGUCUGAAUAGUUAUGUAAAUGUCAUAUUUGUCAUUAUGGGGUAUUGUGUGUAUAUUGAUGAGGGGAAUUACAAUGUAAUCCAUUUUAGAAUAAGGCUGGAACGUAAGGAAAUGUGGGAAAAGUCAAGGGGUAUGAAUACUUUUCGAAUGCACUGUACAUGCCUAUCGGCCUGCGCAUCAGCCUGGUGCAAAAUAAUACUGAUUGUUAGUAGCUAAGAAGUUCUCAUGGUGCAUGUCCUCUGCCAUUAAUAUAUCAGAAAUCAUUUAUACCUUAGAUAGUCAUAGUUUGCACACACAUGUUUAGUAUGUGUCAGUGUGUGUUUAGGCCUUGUCAGAGAAAUGUGUCUUCACUCAGAGUAGUCUGGUUCAUGUGUGUGAAUAAAGACGCCGGCCUCCGAAGCCACACUGGCUAUUGGGGAAACAGGUUUAACAUUUACAGACUGUGAUUAGGUGUAUUUCUACCUGUAGCGGAGAGCGGUCUCAUGACACUUGUGGAUACACACCAAAGGCCUGGAGGACACACAAUUUUCACAGCUCAAUUAUCUCCAGUCACACAUAGAUAACCAUUCAGCCAGUUACUUGGUAGUCCUCAAAUCAGUCUUCAAAUCAGUCCUCAAAUCAGUCCUCAAAUCAGUCUUCAUGGGUAUUACAGAAACGGAAAGUAACAAAGUUAAUGCCCAGAGUUCAGAAUUACUGUAACGAGAGGUCUCCCUCUCUUCCAUCUCUCUCUUUCUCUCACACUCUCUCCAACAUUCACACACAGUACAGUCUCUCCACAAUUGGCUUAUUUGGCCAGCCUUAAUGAAUUCUGCCCAUAUGCCCUGAGCAGCUGCCGCGUUGCCCCUUCCUCCCACCCCCGCAGAGCUGCGAAGUGCCCAUCCAUGUAGAGACAACCUCUAGCUGUCUCUCUGGAGAUGGCCGCGCCUGCCACUCCUCUGCUGGCGCCAGGCUGCUGGCGUUUGAGGUGGACGGCUCGCGGGCGGAGGACCCAGAUUAGGCCGCAGUGAUCACGGGUUGUGGCCUGUCUCAGACGAUUGGCCAGAACACCAGUGGAUCAUAGUGGGGAUUAGAGAGGGAGAGGAGAUGCUGUUUGGCAUGUGCCUGCAUCCAGCUCCUCAAAGUGACCUCUCUCUGUCCCUCAUACUCUCCUCUUUCCGCUCUCUUGCUCCCCCUCCCUCUCUCUUUCGCUCCAUCUCUCUUCCUCUCUCUUAUAUCCCGAUGCUGCAGCAAGGCUCAGAAUGACCUCUCGGUAGCUGGGCGCACAGAAUUUAAUCACGUCAAACCAUCUGUAACACAUACGUUAUUUGUACGAAGAGAGACGGCCCUUGCUCCUAGAGCUCCUCGCAGUGUAGAUGUAUUUGGCUCCAGAAGAACACAGUGUCACGGAGAGGUGAGCAGAGAAUUAUUUGUGUGCCUCUGAUCAAAUGUAGGGAGCUAUUUAGAGGAUAAGGUCUCAUUUUGUUUGAGGUCAUCAUUUUUGGGGGGAGGGAUGGGGAUUUUUUUAUCAAGGUAUUAUUUUAGUGGGAUCCUCUGACCAGUAUUUAAUGUGGAAUAUGAUAUCCUUAUUGCAGCUCAAUGGAAUAAAGAACUCUUAGGUUGAACUCUUAUCAUUUGUCAGGGUCUCAUAUAAAAUGUUGUAGCUCUUUCAUCAGAAGUUAUCCGUUUUUAUCUAAAAGUGAUGUUCUCAUCCGGUAUUUAUUUAGUAGAAGUUGUUUCUCAUGUGAAUCUACACUGGUUAUUUUUUAUGGAAGUUUUCUUAUAUUUUUUAAGUCCAAAUGUAAAACCUUGAGAGGACGCCAAGUUUACUGGGUCCUUUAUCUGGGUUUUAAAAUGACUCCCUGUAUGGAAAUGACUCCCUGUGUGGAAAUCACUCCCUGUGUGGAAAUGACUCCCUGUAUGGAAAUGACUCCCUGUGUAGAAAUGACUCCUUAUGUGGAAAUAACUCCCUGUGUGGAAAUAACUCCCUGUGUGGAAAUGACUCUCUGUGUGGAAAUGACUCUCUGUGUAGAAAUGACUCCCUGUGUGGAAAUGUCUCCCUGUGUGGAAAUUACUCUCUGUGUAGAAAUGACUCCCUGUGUGGAAAUGUCUCCCUGUGUGGAAAUCACUCCCUGUGUGGAAAUCACUCCCUGUGUGGAAAUGACUCCCUGUAUGGAAAUCACUCCCUGUGUGGAAAUGACUCCCUGUAUGGAAAUGACUCCCUGUGUAGAAAUGACUCCCUAUGUGGAAAUAACUCCCUGUGUGGAAAUGACUCUCUGUGUGGAAAUGACUCUCUGUGUGGAAAUGACUCUCUGUGUAGAAAUGACUCCCUGUGUGGAAAUGUCUCCCUGUGUGGAAAUUACUCCUUGUGUGGAAAUGACUUUUCACUUUCUGGCAAAGAAAACAAACAGGGGAAGUAAAACCGUUUUAAUAAAAAUGGACCAAGGCCUCCUAAAAACAUGUUUUUUUUCCUACUCGGGGAUGACAGGUUUGUCUUAAUGUAUUUUGAUACAGGGCGCUAAUUGGAAGAAGAAAUAGAGAUAAUAUGCUUCCAACUACCCCUAAUAUGCUGUGGUGUUGACAGAAGUUUAUACAUUUUAUCUAGUCUCAUUAUCUGCCUUCCAUAUGGCCCAAAAGCAAUAUGCUGAUGUGUAAUUAAAGUGUUACGAAAAUGAGGAGAUGUGAAGAUAGCCAGAGCCUUCAGCCGGGGCCCCUCACACACAGAGUGACGGGUGAGGACAGACACGCCAAUGCUCACGGGAUAUUAGGAACUGACCUGCUCGUUCCACCAGGGGCCACGUGUCUGGACUGUCACAGGCCCUCAGUCAGUCACUGGCCUGGUCAGGGGUUUACAGGCUGAGUCAGGUGCUAUAAGCCAAGCCUGGAUGUCCAGUUUCUCUGAUGAGUGAUCUAGUUUGAUUAUUCCAGAGAUGCAGUAAUAAAUCCUCAGACCCUGAGUUUGUUAAUUAUUAAGCUUUAUAGGCUAUAUGUAUGAUGAAACAUUAGCAAUGUUUUAACUCUAGGGCAAAUGUCAACUGCACUACAUACAUAGGCAACCUGAAUGUAGAUUUUAUAUUGUGGAAAUAAAUCUAAAUGCAACCAUA